ACAGUAUAAAUAUCAACUUGUCGAAAUGAAAAAAUCAUUGAGUCCUCUGCUUCUGUGAAAUAGUAAACAAAACCCUGUGAACAUUCAACAUGGGCAGAAUCCUUCUCUUGGUUUUCGUUCUUGCAAGCUGCAUGGCCUUUACAGCUGAAGCUUGGAACAUUUACCCACGUUGUCCCAAGGGCACCUGGCAGGUAGGCACAUGCAAUAUCUGGACCGGAUGCAAAAUCGGUUAUUGCGUAACCUACGGUAGAAAGUAUGGCGUAUGUUGUAAGCGACGAGGAUUUUACUGAAGUCGUCGUUUCUGAGAUGAUUAUAAGUUGAAUCUCAAUAAAGGGAAUGGUUUAAG